rnacentral:rRNA from 1 species
GACGAACGCUGGCGGCGUGCUUAACACAUGCAAGUCGAACGGAAAGGCCCUGCUUGCAGGGUGCUCGAGUGGCGAACGGGUGAGUAACACGUGGGUGAUCUGCCCCUUACUUUGGGAUAAGCCUGGGAAACUGGGUCUAAUACUGGAUAGGACCAUGCUGUAGGUGGUGUGGUGGAAAGAUUUUUUCGGUAAGGGAUGAGCUCGCGGCCUAUCAGCUUGUUGGUGGGGUAAUGGCCUACCAAGGCGUCGACGGGUAGCCGGCCUGAGAGGGUGGACGGCCACAUGGGGACUGGGAUCCGGCCCAGACUCCUAGGGGGGGCAGCAGGGGGGAAAAUGGCAAAAUGGGGGAAAGCCUGAUGCAGGGACGCCGGGGGGGGGAUGACGGCCUUCGGGUUGUAAACCCCUUUCAGCCAGGAGGAAGCCUUUUUGGGGGUGACGGUAGUGGUAGAAGAAGCACCGGCUAACUACGU